rnacentral:lncRNA from 1 species
AUGUAGCACUGUAUUUCUCUUCCAGGCUAAAGGCUCCUCUCUGCCAUCAUCAUCAUCACGAUACUCACUCGCCAGCUUUUCUGGUUCCUUCCGAGAUUGUAACUUUAUUCCCCCCCCCCCUUCCCCCUCUUGUCGUUUUGCUGGUAAUAACCUGCUUCUGCAGUAUCUGGCAGGGUUUAAAAAGCGGGGGGGGAAAAAAAAAAGCAAACAAACCAAAAAAAAAAACACCCAAAAGACUUUCUUCUGGCCUCUGCUGUGACUCAGAUCCCCGAGGUUGCUUGAGCUCCAGUGACCUGGCUUGUAGAUCCCUCUUCGCAUCCUCUUUCAGGAUCCGAUGUGUCGUGUGUUCGCUCGGUUCUCCCGUCUCCUCCUUGCCUCAGGGUUAUGCGUGUGAGCCUGAUGCAUCGCCCUGUACGAAUCCGCCCUCCGCCACAAGCUCACAGGUGUCUGACGUCCGAGCUGCUCCCUCGGAGACGGGAGAAGCAGAAGGGAUUAGAGCGGAGACGGUUUUAAGAGCGUUAGCUGGAAGCGAGGACAGCUGGCAGCGAGGCGAAACCCCAUCCCUCCUCACUGGAGCUCAGCUUCGUAUUAACUCCCCUCCCCACACACGCACACCUCCCGAUUUUAUAGAGCCAUUUUAACGGUGCCCCUGCGGCCUCUUGCUCCCCGCGCCACACUGGAGCUGGAUUUAAGAUCGAGAUUUUUUUGAUCUUCAGCUACAGUAAGUUAUUCAAAAUUUUUUUCAUUUUUCCUGCCUUUCCACUGAUUUCCUUUUUAUUGUUGUUGCUAGUUACUAUUACUAUUAUACUACUAUAAUGCUGAUGACUUUACUAUGAUGAUAUGUUGCUGAUGGUGAUGAUAAUGACACUGCUGAUUUUUAACCGGAUGAAAUCGAGUUUUUCUGAGUGUUCCUGACUGAGCUGGGUUUUUACCCUUUGUGAGACACAGCGAGGUUUUUAAAAUUUUUAAGUGGAUUGAUCACGUUAAC